rnacentral:rRNA from 1 species
CAGCAGCCGCGGUAAGACAGAGGAUGCAAGCGUUAUCCGGAAUGAUUGGGCGUAAAGCGUCUGUAGGUGGUUUUUCAAGUCCGCCGUCAAAUCCCAGGGCUCAACCCUGGACAGGCGGUGGAAACUACCAAGCUGGAGUACGGUAGGGGCAGAGGGAAUUUCCGGUGGAACGGUGAAAUGCGUUGAGAUCGGAAAGAGCACCAACGGCGAAAGCACUCUGCUGGGCCGACACUGACACUGAGAGACGAAAGCUAGGGGAGCAAAUGGGAUUAGAUACCCCUGUAGUCCCUGUCUCUUAUAC